rnacentral:rRNA from 1 species
AAUAUUAAGCAAUUGAAAUUGUUUUUAUACAUAUGUAUAAAACAUUGGGGCUAUGGAAUUUUUUUUAAUUUCAUGCUCUUAAUAUUUUAAAGCACAUUUGAAUGUACCCAAUAUAUAAUAUUAAAAGAUAUAAUAUAUACAAGUGGUAUAUCAUAGUCAUUAGAUAAUUUAUCUUAAAGACAUAUUGUUAUACAGAAAAACUUGUUAUAUUAAAAAGCUUUUAAUAAAAAGGGAUUAUUCAUUAUAAUGUGCUACAAUGAUUUAAUAUUAU